rnacentral:rRNA from 1 species
UACGUAGGUGGCGAGCGUUAUCCGGAUUUAUUGGGUUUAAAGGGUGCGUAGGCGGCCGGGUAAGUCAGCGGUGAAAUUUUGCAGCUUAACUGUAACAGUGCCGUUGAUACUGAAUGGCUAGGAUUUGGUUGCUGUGGGUGGAAUGUGUGGUGUAGCGGUGAGAUGCUUAGAUAUCACACAGAAUAUCAAUUGCGAAGGCAGCUCACAAAGCCAAGAUUGACGCUGAGGCACGAAAGUGUGGGGAUCAAACAGGA